rnacentral:rRNA from 1 species
GGUAAUUCUGGAGCUAAUACGUGCUGAAAGGUUACGCCCUUGUUGGUUUGGCCUGCAUUUAUUGGUGCAAAAUCUGACUUUGUCUGUUUGCUUAAUCUGGAUAUCCGCUAGUAUCGCAUGGCCUUGUGCCGGCGAAGCUUUCGUUAAGUACCUGCAUUAUCAACUAUCGUUGGUGCUGUAUUGGAGUACCAUGGUGUUAACGAUUAACGGAGAAUUAGGGUUUGACUCCGGAGAGGCAGCCUUAGAAACGGCUACCAUGUCUAAGGACAGCAGCAGGCACGAAAAUUACCCACUGUCAAAACGACGAGGUAGUGACGAGAAAUAACAAGAUCGUUCUCUUUGAGGUCGAUCAUUGGAAUGAGUACAAUCCAGACACUUUAACGAGUAUCCACGAGAGGGCAAGUCUGGUGCCAGCAGCCGCGGUAAUUCCAGCUCUCGUAAGGUAUAGAAUUAUUGCUGUGGUUAAAAAGUUCGUAGUUGGAGAUAACGAAUGUGAUGGGCUUGCCGUUUCGGUUUAGUUUGUUGCGUUUGAUUGAUGUGCUCUUGUGCGUUGUUUGCUUGCAUUCGGCGUGCGUCACAUUAGAUUACUUUGAACGGUUCAAGUGCUUAAAGCACGUCUUAUGACUGAAUACCGGUGCAUAGAAUAAUAGAAAACGGUUUCGGCCGAGUUUUGUUGGAUUUUGACGGCUGAAACAAUGGUUAACAGAAACAGCCGGGGGCAUUCGUAUCGUUACGCGAGAGGUGAAAUUCGUGGACCGUAGCGAGACGCACUAAAGCGAAGGCACUUGCCAAGAGUGUUUUCAUUAAUCAAGAACGAAAGUCAGAGGUUCGAAGGCGAUUAGAUACCGCUUUAGUUUUGACCGUAAACGCUGCCAACUGUCGAUUCGUUUGUGGAUUUUAUUCAUAAGCGAGGAGAUUCUCGGAAACGAAAGUUUUUCGGUUCCGGGGGAAGUAUGGUUGCAAAACUGAAACUUAAAGGAAUUGACGGAAGGGCACCACCAGGAGUGGAGCUUGCGGCUUAAUUUGACUCAACACGGGGAAACUCACCCGGCCAGUACAUUGUAAGGAUUGACAGAUCGAUAGCUCUUUCAUGAUUCGGUGAAUGGUGGUGCAUGGCCGUUCUUAGUUCGUGGAUUGAUUUGUCUGGUUUAUUCCGAUAACGAGCGAGACUUUGACUAUUAAAUAAGUGCUUCUGUUAUUAAUGCAGUUGUACACUUCUUAAAAGAAUUUGGGGUUUCCAACCUCAAGAGAUUGAGCAAUAACAGGUCUGUGAUGCCCUUAGAUGUUCGGGGCCGCACGCGUGCUACAAUGAUGGUAGCAACGUGAUUGUCCGGUUUCGUAAGGAAUUGGCAAACAGUUGAGAUAUUAUUAUGGCUGGAAUUGAGAUUUGAAAUUAUUUCUCAUGAACGAGGAAUUCCAAGUAAAUGCGAGUCAUCAACUCGCAUUGAUUACGUCCCUGCCCUUUGUACACACCGCCCGUCGCUGCCCGGGACUGGGUUUCCUCGAGAAAACUAGGGAUUGUUGUAGUUUAGUAUUUUCGGAUACUAGCUUCGAUGAGAACGAGUUUAAUCGCGGUGGCCUGAACCGGGC